rnacentral:lncRNA from 1 species
AGGAAAAAAUGAGUUAUACGUAUUUUUUAACACACACGUUUGAUAUACGUUUAACUAUUUUCGAUAUUCAUUUAAAUCAUUCGAUGUGUCUAUGAAAUAAUUUUCGAAAUGAGCUUUGAGAGAAUAUAAAAUAUUUAUGGUUUCGACUACCGAACAAUCUUCGAUGAAUUUUUAAAGUUAGCUUGUUAUCAAAAUUUUUAAUUUUUUAAAUAAUGUCUCCUUUUACACUAAAAAUAAUUUAAAAGUUUAUCAGGAAAUUUUUUAAACCACGUAAAAAAAUUUAUCAGAUUAUUUACAAAAUUAAUUUUGUAGUAGUAGUGAUAUAUUAAUUAAGUUGAAAAAUUAAAAUAGGAUUGAAGGAUAAAAUGAAAAAAUGAAAAUACUUUACAAAUGAACAGUAAUAACAUAUUCAUUCUUACAAUGUAGGAAUAGAGAAAAGUAGGGAAAAUAAAUACAAAAACCACUGAAUUGCAGCAAAUUCAUUAUAUAUUGUUUGAAUUUUAAUUAUAUAAAUUUAUUUAUUUUGUUCGAAAGUAUUGGAAUGAUAAUUAUAUAAUUUUGUUCUUGUAUGUCGACACAGAAAUUUUUUUUUAUUCAUUUCUGUAAUAGACUUUACUUAUUUUUAUAGUUAUAUUUUGUUUUUUUUAAUAUUUUUUUUACAAUUAUUUUUC